AUUCAUUGAAUAGUUCUGAAAGACCCCCGAAGGGAGACCCUCACUCAAGCCUCUGGAUGUGGCGCGGACCCAAGAGAGACACGGAGACCG
rnacentral:pre_miRNA from 7 species